GCUUACGGUCACACUACCCUGAGAAUGCCCGAUCUCGUCUGAUCUCGGAAGCUAAGCAGGGUUCGCCUGGUUAGUACUUGGAUGGGAGACCACCUGGGAAUACCAGGUGCUGUAAGCU
ensembl:rRNA 5S_rRNA 5S ribosomal RNA